GUGGGGAAUAUUGGACAAUGGGCGAAAGCCUGAUCCAGCCAUGCCGCGUGUGUGAAGAAGGUCUUCGGAUUGUAAAGCACUUUAAGUUGGGAGGAAGGGUAGUAACCUAAUACGUUGCUACUUUGACGUUACCGACAGAAUAAGCACCGGCUAACUUCGUGCCAGCAGCCGCGGUAAUACGAAGGGUGCAAGCGUUAAUCGGAAUUACUGGGCGUAAAGCGCGCGUAGGUGGUUCAGUAAGUUGGAAGUGAAAUCCCCGGGCUCAACCUGGGAACUGCUUUCAAAACUGCUGAGCUAGAGUACGGUAGAGGGUGGUGGAAUUUCCUGUGUAGCGGUGAAAUGCGUAGAUAUAAGAAGGAACACCAGUGGCGAAGGCGACCACCUGGACUGAUACUGACACUGAGGUGCGAAAGCGUGGGGAGCAAACAGGAUUAGAUACCCGGUAGUCC
rnacentral:rRNA from 1 species